ACGGAGGGUCCGAGCGUUAUCCGGAAUUAUUGGGUUUAAAGGGUCCGUAGGCGGGCGAUUAAGUCAGUGGUGAAAGUCUGCAGCUCAACUGUAGAACUGCCUUUGAUACUGGUCGUCUUGAGUUAUAGUGAAGUUGCCGGAAUAUGUAGUGUAGCGGUGAAAUGCAUAGAUAUUACAUAGAACACCGAUUGCGAAGGCAGGUGACUAACUAUAUACUGACGCUGAUGGACGAAAGCGUGGGGAGCGAACAGG
rnacentral:rRNA from 1 species